AUGUACCACCUCAAAGCGGAACCAAUCAGGUUGUCUUGGAAAUAAUGAAUCAGUAACUGAUCAUUAUCAGUUUACGUUGACAUCUUUCUAGCAUACAUGACGAGAUGAGCGAGUGGACAGGUAUUCCCUUUAUACUUUUCAAAGUCGGGGACUUUGAACUUCAUCGGGAUCUUAACAUUGGGAACCAAGCAAAGCUCCGCAACACUUUUAC
rnacentral:lncRNA from 1 species